rnacentral:lncRNA from 1 species
CAAAUGUGCAGUCGUUAUGAAAGACAUGACUGCAUCUACUCAUAGAAAGGCAAGUAGUGCACUCGAUGACCGCCUCUCCAAGACAGACACAGAAAGAGAUGUCACUCCUCAGACAACAGUGCCUUCAAAAGAUUUCCAAAAGGAGCUGGUCACGGGCAAAUUCACACAUCCAGAACCUGGCUUUUCCUCCAAGAUACCAGUAUGCUACACAUUACAUUACAAGAAUCGGGGCUAAUACCUUUAUCCUGUAAAACAAUGCAAUCCCUUCCUAAUUGUAACUGGAAAUUGUACCAAAGUUAUCAUUUGUGCUCAGUGAGUUUGUGAAUUAAUUCAUUAUGCUGUUAAAAUCCCAGCGUCUCUUAUCACCUGCCGCUUUGAAGACUCCGGUUGCAUUACCAGCGCUGCCCCAUCAGCUGCCAACUGCAUGAGCUGGAGGCGGCUAAGAAGUGAAUCCUUGAGCUGAGAAAUUCCACCUAGGGGAGGAGACGCAGCUUUGACUUGCAAACAUGGCCCAGGAACCCAGCAGAGCUAUCUGGAGAACCACCUGAAUCAUCGAUCCAUAAAACCAUCAUGAAAGUCAAUGUCUCCUCCAGCACAGAUCAGAGUCAGGCUUAGAUGAAAUGCCGUCGGUAAUGAUAGCCCUGUUCUCUGAGCGUGGACAAGACUAGGGAUCAGUUGUACCUUAUGUGAAGGAAGCCUUGUGCAAACACUAACCUGAAAAUAGUAGUCAGGAAAGCCAAGCCAGCCUUUGUUUUGAAAUCCUUUCCUAAAUAUAUGUGACUUCUGCAUUUAAAGUUUGAUGUUACCUUUGAGGAAAUAAGCCAGCAUCGCUGAUUAAAAGAAUAUUUAUUUUCUACAAUGCCACCAUAAGCCGCAUACAUUUGCCUGGCUGCCAAGCGAUAAUUAAUUUCCUAGUGUGCACUGCCUGUCUCGAGACUUCCAUGGAGCCACCUAGUAUUUCUCAUUAAAAUGAAUCCUGAAGGCACUUUGUUAUUGUUUAGUCUCAGAAAAAUAUUGACAAGGGUUUUCUUUUUCCCUCCAUCAACAUCAUUGUUUUAUA